rnacentral:rRNA from 1 species
GUGUCAGCCGCCGCGGUAAUACGGAGGAUGCAAGCGUUAUCCGGAUUCAUUGGGUUUAAAGGGUGCGCAGGCGGAAUAAUAAGUCAGCGGUGAAAGCCUACAGCUUAACUGUAGAACUGCCAUUGAUACUGUUAUUCUUGAGUGUUGUUGAGGUAGGCGGAAUGUGUCAUGUAGCGGUGAAAUGCUUAGAUAUGACACAGAACACCGAUCGCGAAGGCAGCUUACCAAGCAACAACUGACGCUCAUGCACGAAAGCGUGGGGAUCAAACAGGAUUAGAUACCCCUGUAGUCC